GGGAAUGCCUUUGGACACUGUUAGGCAUUGGCUAGGUUUCAGAGUGCAACUGGGCAACUUUGACAACUUAUUAAGUAUUCCCUGAGUUAACCAGUGGUUUGUGAUUAGGGUCAAGACACAACACCAUAGGACCCGUGUUCACAGGAGCAUACCCAGCCUCCUUAACAACUCUCUUACAAAUGACCAUUCAGUCCCAGCACAUCCUUAGAGAGGUCACUGCUUGUAUUCAUCAGGUACUGUCCUCUGUGCCGACAGAACACAAGAUCUUUCUUCCAACAUACAUUUUUGUUUACUGGACUCAUGAUUAGCAUCUCUUAAUGUUGUGAAACUCAACUGGAUUUUUCAUUUUAUUUUUUAGCAAAUGUAAUUUAAUGUAUUUGUUUGUGAAAGGCUCUAGCAAAAAACUAAAUAAAAUCCUUCUGAAUAGCCUUUGACAGAUUGCAAAUCCUGAGCAAUGGCCAGGACAAGAGAAGGUGGUGAGGAAGAGGGGUUUCCCUGUUGGGAAACAUGGAGAAGAAGGGAGUAUGUUGUUCCUCCCAUUAUCUUUCAGCUUUUGAAGAUAGGGAGGAAAUAGGACAUCCUCAGAUGUAACGCAAAAGAAGAAAUGUUUGGAAUAUAAGCUCUGUGGGGGUAAGGACUAUGCUGACCAGUGUGCUCCCUUAGCAAGGUGCCCAGCACAUCAUAAAUAUGAAAUAUAGGCAGGGAAAGAGGAAGAAAGGGAGAGAGGAAGAAACGGAGGGAGGGAGGGAGGAAGAAAGGGAGGGAGGGAAGGAGGAGAUAAAAAGAACCAUUCAUUGUGAUCAAGGAAUUGCGUUUGGCAACUCAUGACUGUCCCGUAGCUGCUGCCCAUUGUCUACUCAUACCCACACCUCACAUCAGGCCCAGGAAAGGACACAAAGGACUAAAGCAGCUCGAAGUGCAUCAGAGUGUCUUUAGCCAUUCCUGCCUAAGGGGUUCACCACUCACUCAAUGGGUUACAAAGUUCUGCUUCUGAACAUAUAAGUCUUUUGUAAACACCACACUGCUUUACCCUCUGCCUGGAAUGAUCUUCCCCCGGGUCACAAAUCAAAUAUGACCUCCUUAGAGCAACCUUGACCCAUCCCCACAUCUACAGUAGACCUGCAGACAUCAUCAUCUCCCUAUCUGUUCUGUUCACAGUGAUUAUUCUGAUCACUCCCCAAAUUAUCCUCUUUAUUUGUAUGUUAACUUGUUUAUUGUCUAUUUCUUCCCGGUAAAAUGUAAGUUCCAAGAGAAUAGAGAUCUUGUUUUCAGAGUUCAUCACUGUAUCUUCCAGUUGAGAGCAGUCCCUGACACAUAGUAUAUUCUCAAUCAAUAUUUCACUGAAUGAAUACCAAAUCAAAAAGAUGACACACAGCAAUAAGGAUGGAUCUGUAUAGUGCUUGGUGAAUAAAAAUGCAAGGAACAGGCUGGGCAUGGUGGCUCACACUGUAAUUCCAGCACUUUGGGAGGCCAAGGUGGGCAGAUCACUUGAGGCCAGGAGUUUGAGACUAGCCUGGGUAACAUGGCAAAACCCUGUCCCUACUAAAAAUACAAAAAUUAGCCAGGAGUAAUGGUGCACGACUGCAGUCCCAGCUACUAGGGAGGCUGAGGCACAAGAAUCACUUGAACCUGGGAGGCAAGGGUUACAGUGAGCCAAGAUCACGCCACUGCACUCCAGCCUGGGUGACAGAGAGAGACUCAGUCUCAAAAAAAAAAAAAAAA
rnacentral:lncRNA from 1 species